rnacentral:rRNA from 1 species
UACAGGGGUGGCAAACGUUGCUCGGAAUCAUUGGGCGUAAAGCGCACGUAGGCGGUUUGUUAUGUCGGAUGUGAAGCCCUUGGCUCAACUGAGGAAGUGCAUCCGAACUGGCAGCUAGAGUACUAAGAGGGUCGCGGAAUUCCCGGUGUAGAGGUGAAAUUCGUAGAUAUCGGGAGGAACACCGGUGGCGAAGGCGGCGACCUGGGUAGAUACGUGACGCUGAGGUGGCGAAAGCGUGGGGAGCAAACAGGG